UAUAUGCUCUUUAUGUUGCUGGUAAUUGGGAUGAAGUAAACAUCUGUUGAGUAUUUUAACAAAAAAUUGUUUGAUUAUGUUGAAUUAAAAACCCACAAAUGUAGCAGGUCCACCAGACCCACGAACACUGACUGAAUAACAAAAACCUGAACACCACACAAGGGUUAAAGAAUUAGUUCAGUUGGUGGAUGG